CAGGGUGUAGCGCAGCCUGGUAGCGCACCUGUUUUGGGAACAGGAAGUCAUAGGUUCGAAUCCUGUCACCCUGA
rnacentral:tRNA from 1 species